UACGGAGGGGACUAGCGUUGUUCGGAAUUACUGGGCGUAAAGGGCGCGUAGGCGGCUUGGUCAGUCCCGUGUGAAAUCCCUCGGCUCAACUGAGGAACUGCACGGGAAACUGCCUGGCUUGAGUUCGGGAGAGGGAAGCGGAAUUCCGGGUGUAGCGGUGAAAUGCGUAGAUAUCCGGAGGAACACCGGUGGCGAAGGCGGCUUCCUGGACCGACACUGACGCUGAGGCGCGAAAGCUAGGGGAGCAAACAGG
rnacentral:rRNA from 1 species